rnacentral:rRNA from 1 species
GAUGAACGCUGGCGGCGUGCCUAAUACAUGCAAGUCGAGCGAACGGACGAGAAGCUUGCUUCUCUGAUGUUAGCGGCGGACGGGUGAGUAACACGUGGAUAACCUACCUAUAAGACUGGGAUAACUUCGGGAAACCGGAGCUAAUACCGGAUAAUAUUUUGAACCGCAUGGUUCAAAAGUGAAAGACGGUCUUGCUGUCACUUAUAGAUGGAUCCGCGCUGCAUUAGCUAGUUGGUAAGGUAACGGCUUACCAAGGCAACGAUGCAUAGCCGACCUGAGAGGGUGAUCGGCCACACUAGAACUGAGACACGGUCCAGAAUCCUACGGGAGGCAGCAGUAGGGAAUCUUCCGCAAUGGGCGAAAGCCUGACGGAGCAACGCCGCGUGAGUGAUGAAGGUCUUCGGAUCGUAAAACUCUGUUAUUAGGGAAGAACAUAUGUGUAAGUAACUGUGCACAUCUUGACGGUACCUAAUCAGAAAGCCACGGCUAACUACGU